GGACCGUGACGAUUGACAUAGGUCUCGUUCGUCGUAAUAUAUGCCGUAAAAGGCUUAUUUGCCGACCACUCUGUUAUACUGAGUCC
rfam:Arabis alpina cultivar Pajares chromosome 3, whole genome shotgun sequence.